rnacentral:rRNA from 1 species
UACAGAGGUCCCGAGCGUUGUUCGGAUUCAUUGGGCGUAAAGGGUGCGUAGGCGGCUUGCUAAGUUUGAUGUGAAAUCCUGGGGCUCAACCCUGGGACUGCAUUGAAUACUGGCAGGCUAGAGUACUGGAGAGGAAACUGGAAUUUACGGUGUAGCAGUGAAAUGCGUAGAGAUCGUAAGGAAGACCAGUGGCGAAGGCGGCUACCUGGACCGGUUCUGACGCUGAGGCGCGAAAGCGUGGGUAGCAAACAGG